rnacentral:rRNA from 1 species
UACAGAGGAGCCAAGCGUUGUCCGGAUUGACUGGGCGUAAAGCGCACGCAGGCGGAUACGCGCGUGGGGUGUGAAAUCUGGCCGCUUAACGGCCAGGCGCCAUCCCAUACGGCGUGUCUGGAGCUGUGCAGAGGUCGGUGGAAUUGCCGGUGUAGUGGUGAAAUGCGCAGAUAUCGGGAGGAACACCAACGGCGAAGGCAGCACUCUGGGCUGGAACUGAACGCUGAGGAGCGAAAGCGUGGGUAGCAAACGAGGA